GAUGAACGCUGGCGGCGUGCCUAAUACAUGCAAGUCGAGCGAACAGACGAGGAGCUUGCUCCUCUGACGUUGGCGGCGGACGGGUGAGUAACACGUGGAUAACCUACCUAUAAGACUGGGAUAACUUCGGGAAACCGGAGCUAAUACCGGAUAAUAUAUUGAACCGCAUGGUUCAAUAGUGAAAGACGGUUUUGCUGUCACUUAUAGAUGGAUCCGCGCCGCAUUAGCUAGUUGGUAAGGUAACGGCUUACCAAGGCAACGAUGCGUAGCCGACCUGAGAGGGUGAUCGGCCACACUGGAACUGAGACACGGUCCAGACUCCUACGGGAGGCAGCAGUAGGGAAUCUUCCGCAAUGGGCGAAAGCCUGACGGAGCAACGCCGCGUGAGUGAUGAAGGUCUUCGGAUCGUAAAACUCUGUUAUUAGGAAAGAACAAAUGUGUAAGUAACUAUGCACGUCUUGACGGUACCUAAUCAGAAAGCCACGGCUAACUACGUG
rnacentral:rRNA from 1 species